UUAGAUUUCACCAAACAUAUUAAUCAUCAUCACUGUAAAAUCCAAAACACCACACCUGUUUUGUUUUUUUUUUUCUUUUUGAGUUAAAUUUUUAGGCUUGAGUGGAACAAUGGUUCACUGAACUGGAGGAACAUAUUAUAUUAAGAAACUAUAAACAAAGAUUAUACAAGAUAACAUAUCUGAUCAUAAUCUCUUGUAUACAUACAGAUCAAAAUUCCUAUUAUAGACGAAUCCAUUUUUGAUGAUAGAAAGCGAGCAACUCAAGGAGUUACCAACUUCUAAAGAUGUCAGUACUGAUGUUCAAAAUAAGAUUUGGAGAAGGUAUAGAGUUGCUGCUACAAGUUCCUAUCUGCGAUAAAGUGGUGUAGGUAAAUGAAUGAUAUUACUUUUCAGCAAUGGUCUUGGUCAAAGAGAGAAGCCAUCGACCAUGUUUCCUUUAUCUUAGUCUUCGUGCAUCUUCUUUCAUCACUAGCAAUUGAUGCCUCCAUCCACAAGUGUUGCUUCAGGUCUUUUGUAUCUUCAUGAGGGUUGUCAACGAAGGAUUAUUCAUAGGGAUAUUAAGGCCUCUAAUAUUUUGCUUUCAUAGGAUUUUAAACUGAAGAUUUGCAGAAUUGCUACUAGAUCAAUGGAUGCACCUCACUGUAUCACAACUUGAAGGGACAUUAGGUGAUAGUUACAGAAACGAGAACCACAACACCAUGAGAACCACACAUCUAGUUGAGCACAUUACCAGGAGAGGAUUGAUCACGUUUGAAUUAGUUCAUUUGUGCUAGGUAAAUGGGUCUGAACAUGUCUUAAUUGGAUAUUGUGUUUUGUUAGGGAAUUGAUAUAAUAUGAUGAAAAAGUUAAUGUAUUACAUUUGUUUAGCAUUGGAAUAUUUUUUAUAUUUGACAUAUUACAUAUUGUGAAGUAAAUUGUCUUUUUUUGUGUAUGAUGUUAUUUUGUAUUA